UCCGAUUUGUCACCGGCAGUCUCCUUAGAGUGCCCGACUUAACGCUGGCAACUAAGGACAAGGGUUGCGCUCGUUGCGGGACUUAACCCAACAUCUCACGACACGAGCUGACGACAGCCAUGCACCACCUGUGCACAGGCCCCGAAGGGCUGCCGUGUUUCCACGACAUUCCUGUGCAUGUCAAGCCUUGGUAAGGUUCUUCGCGUCGCGUCGAAUUAAUCCACAUGCUCCGCUGCUUGUGCGGGCCCCCGUCAAUUCCUUUGAGUUUCAACCUUGCGGCCGUAGUCCCCAGGCGGUUCACUUAAUGCGUUAGCUGCGGCACCGAGGGAGACCCCCCAACACCUAGUGAACAUCGUUUAUGGCCAAGACUAC
rnacentral:misc_RNA from 1 species